rnacentral:lncRNA from 1 species
GGGCGCUAGAGACUGUUCAUUUUUCUGAACUCAGAGAGCAGGGGAGUGAAGGAGAAGAAAACCACACCCACAGGGUGAUCAUUAUCAGCCUGAGCACAGCGAGUACCUUCUAUAGUGUAACAGAGAGAGAGAAGGAGAGAGGAAGGAAACUUCAGAGCAGACAAAGGAGCUUGUUUGUUGGAGUUUGUGCUGCAGCUCCCGGUCAAACGCGGCAGACUAUUAAACCAUUCCGCCAUCCUCUAACUAUGGGAUUAUUUUCAUUUUUUUAAACUUUUGGAGAUUUAUACUUGUGUCCAUUUGGACCUGCACUGAUAAUAUUGUUUUGAUUUUAAAAGCCAGCUUGCCAUCGAGUUAUUCUAGGAGCAGGCGAUGAUGUCCCGCCACUGAUAUGCAUCAUCCGUCCAGACCACCAAAUCCGCCCGAUGGCUCGACCACAGUGACCACAAAAGAGGGCAGCGAAGGAGAUCCACCGACUGUCGCCGGGGCAAACACCGAGCACCAGCUUGAGCGACUCAGCCAAACCAGGUUCACCGGAGGAGGAGAGUCAGACUCGCCAACCCGUUGCAGAACCCAAGGCAGGCCAAUUGUGUCACAGAUCAGAUCAGCAUUUCGUCGCGUAUCCAGUGGAUAUUCCUCACUCGACAGCGACUCGCUGCCGAGCUCCCCGCUCUCCCCGACACCAACGACAGCUGACGCAGCCACGCAGACUCCGAGCCUCACUGGCCAGGUGGUGCAACACGCCCUUCGGCGCAUGAGUGAGACGCACGGGGACUCACCAAACCCCUUUAGCACACGGCAUCAGCACACAGCUGAGGACAUGACGGCGGUGGCAUUCGGACAAGAGCUCCGGCGUAUUGGAGACCAGUAUGACAGACUUCUGAUGCAAAGGAGGGAGGCAGGUGGACCUAGACCGGUGGUGAUCCUUCCAAACCUGCUGCCACACAUCUACCAGGAGCCCACCGCCCUGCUUUGUAUGGGCCUUCUGCUCCUGCUGGUUGGACGGCUGAUGCAAGACAGCAUGAGCAGCCAGGAUCACUCUCAGGUUUAGCUUUUGGAAAACCCAGCAGAAGUAGCAUUUUUUUGAGUGUUGGAUUUAUCAUAUCUUGACCUCUGUUUUUGUUUUUGGGGGACCCGUUACCUUUGACUUUGGGCUUGGAUUUUUGUCUUUGCACCACUGUCCACUUUAUGUCCUCUGAGCCUUUGUGAUUCAACCAAAGAGGCAAGAUUUUGCACUCCUUUCUUUUGCAGAAAUGGUUGAAUCGUCCAAAAAUGUCUCCGCAAAGAUGGACCCGUGGAAAUUCAAUGUGCCUUGUACAAUUGCUUGUUUACUUUUUUAACUUCUUUGAAGAACAAUUUUCAUUGUACAGAAAUUAUGAAUUCAUUGGGUGACCAACUCUGCAGACCCAGGGUUGUUAAAGAGUUGAGGUCCUGACUGCAAAAUUUCCCAACUAUCGCUCAUCGUUCGGAUAGUUCCGGAUUGCACGCAACUGACUCCCAACCUGCUUGAGAACCAACUGGACCACAGAUUUCUUCGUUGUCUCCAUUUUUUUAUCACAGUGUUCCUGUACUACUGUGUCAUUUUAACAUGUUGUUGUCAUGAGAAUGAACUGCAAACAGUGUUUUUAGACACAAAAGAGAAUGGCUUCCUGAUAAUUUGAGAUCUUCUCAUCACUUGGGUUUCACAAAUAAAGUCCAAAUUUAGUCUCA